UCUGUGAUUUAUAUAUUUUGUUGCUAUUUUGGCUGUAAUAACACUGUUGCUUGUGAAUGCUAAUAAUAAUUGGAAUUUAACAGAUGCUUAGUUUAUUUUAUUGUAUGUAUGAAAUAAUAUAGUGACAUUCUUUUCCAAAAUAAUUUCUAUAUGCACCAAUCAUGUUAAGCAUGCACCUAGAUGGGAGGACAGGCUACCCAUGGCUUUGUAAUAGACUAAUCAAGUAAUAACUAAUGCCUGCCCAAGACACAGCAUUUUUGACAAUUUUUCCCAUUUGUAGACUGGGCAAGUUAUGAUGAAGAAGCAAAUGAUGAUUGGCAAAUUUGAUAAAAACCCAAAUAUUUUUCAGUGUUCAGUAUUUAAGUAGUGAUUUUGGGUGAAGACCUUCAAAACAUCCUGGAGUUUCCAAAAAUAAUGUUUUUCAUUGGCUCCCCUGGAAAUAUUUUCCAAGAGAUUUUUGCAACCAGCUCCCUGGAAAUGCAUAAUACAGUUUUUAAGCCAAAUAUUUGGGUGACAACAUUCCUUUGAAAUGGAUUUUUAUGUCCCUUUUAAGUUCCAAGGUCUUCACCCCCUGGGUGUAUUGAUUAAAAAUGCUAGCAAGAUUGUUGGUCAACCUUUUAUUUUUGUACUCAAAAUAAUUUUCCCCAUGUGCAUAUAGGCAUACCAGAUAACUUCAACCUGUACAUGCAUGGGUUGAGGGUGAAUUAAUGGUUGAAUAAACAUUGGACAUUUUCACUGACACUGUUAAAAUUCUUGAGCCAUAUGCACCAUAGAAGCAACUAAUAAUGUGUGAGUGUGACAAUUUCACUUCCCCUGGAGGUAGAAGUGAGGCUAUAGGCCAGAGUGUCAGAGGUGAAUCUAUAGAUUCAGGUUUUUGUUUCCUGUAAUGUAGGUAAUAAUAAGCCAUUGGAUUCUACAUCAGCUGCAUGUAAAGGCCCUCCUGAAGAAUUUUUCCAGCCCCCAACUGUUUACCUCCAGUUUUUUCAGCAUAGAUUAUCCUACAUGUAUCAGUGUUAAGCCCCGGAGUGUCAGACAAAUAAUGGUAAAAUAUGAACAUUUGAUAAAUGUGGAUAUAUUGAAGACUGAAAAAUACACUGUUUACAUCAAUUGUUUGAAUGUUAUAUUUUUCUUCGAUUUCUACAAUUCAAUGUUAUCUGCUGUUAUAAAUCAUAUUCUAUUUUUGCCUCCAUAUUCUAUUUUUGCCUCCAUAUUCUAUUUCUGCCUGCAACUCUGUAUUGUUUUGUAUAACAAAUUUUCAACUCUUAUUUGUUUUGUAUUGUAAAUGCAUUUUGUAUUAUUACAAAACAAUACAGAGUUGCCUAUUAUACAAAACAAUACAGAGUUGCCUGUGGAAGAGGCUAAUUCUACUUAAAUAUUAACCCAGAACUCUCUCCUUGACAACUAAAAUCAUCUGGCAUUAGACAGAAAAUAAUAAAGUAGGGUGCAAUGUGACUCCAUGGGUUAACUAGACACAUCAUGGGCAGAUAGGCCAGUUAACCCACUAAGUACCAGAGGUUUCCCCUUGAUGAGUAAAAUUGUAUAGCAUUAGACAUAGUAAAAUAAUCUGGUGUUAGACAGAGUAAAAUAAUAAAGUAGGGCGCAUCAGUGCACAAUGCGACUCAAUGGGUUAGAGAUGAACAGACGGUAAGUCUGUUCUGCACAUAUGUAACCUUCUGAUGUAAACAAUUGGUAACAUCAAGGUGUUAUACAUAGGGUUAUACAUGGUGGUCAACAUUACAUGUAUCAACACUAAUGACUUGGGGAGCGAGCAAAUGAGGCUAAAUUGCAUGUAUUCGCCAGCAAACAUGAGGUCAAGACAUAUCAUAAAACUUUACUCACACCGGUAACUGUGUUUCCUUUUAGAGUUGACCACCAUGUGCCGAGAUGUUGCAUCACAACACAUGAAAGUAAAGAAUACCCAACUUUCACAUUGUUUCAGCAUCUCAUUCAGAAACUCUAAUCAAAAUUCAUUUAAAGAACAGCAACCUGAACGAUGUGAAAUAUGAAUUAUGUACAUCAUAUUUUUUUUUAAUAUAGCGUGUUUAAAAUGUAAAAAAACCAACAUCCCUCACAUUUUAUGCUUUUUAUCACUAUUAUAAACAGGGUGCCAUACUGCUAUAGUUUCAAAUAGUGAAAUCUUGACUGAUUUCUGCCUAAGUAUUUCACAAAAUAUUAAAUACAACGAUAUCCAGCUGCACAUAAGUUAUUAUACCAUUUACAUUUCUUCUAAAUCCUUUAGACAUGGCUCACAUGAGUAUUAAUUUCUCGGUAAUUUCGGAAUUUCAAUUUUCCACUCCUACGAUGAAUAACAGUGCCAUAUAAAUCGGUAGAUAAUCUUCAAAGGUUUCUCAUACCAACACAUCUUUCAAGGACGAAUUAUAUAAACAUGUUAAUAACAACUUUAGUAAAGGAAAACUGUUAUGAGCAAAAUAACAAGUGUUUCUCGUGCCGAUUAUUUUCUGAAACAUUCGGGCGCCAUCUUGAAAUUUGAGUUCGGGGGGGUGAAUGCCUCUCUUUCGCGCACUGGCUAAGCUUUUGGCGGCCGGUUACACUUUUUUGGCUGAGUUCCACCUCUGUGUACACGGCUAAAAACGCACAGGUUGUUGCAAGUUGAUAUCGACAGGCGUGAACAAUGUUGUGCGGCCAACUAUGAACAAGUUGUCAACCAUGUUGUUCCAAGUUGUUACAGUUGAACAAUGUUGUAACAACAUGUUGACAAUACUGUUCAUAGUGGGCCGCACAACCUUGUUCACGCCUGUCGAUAUCAACUUGCAACAAGUUGUUGAUUUUCUCAAUUUUUACGCGUGUAGUAU